ACGAAUGGGGCAAGCGUUGUUCGGAAUCACUGGGCGUAAAGCGUAUGUAGGCGGUCUAUCAAGUCAGGAGUGAAAUCCCAGGGCUCAACCCUGGAAUUGCUCUUGAAACUGAUAAGCUAGAGUACUGGAGAGGUUAGCAGAAUUCCGAGUGUAGAGGUGAAAUUCGCAGAUAUUCGGAGGAACACCAGUGGCGAAGGCGACUUACUGGACACAUAUUGACGCUGAGGUGCGAAAGCGUGGGGAGCAAACAGGA
rnacentral:rRNA from 1 species